UACGUAGGUGGCAAGCGUUAUCCGGAAUUAUUGGGCGUAAAGAGCGCGCAGGUGGUUGAUUAAGUCUGACGUGAAAGCCCACGGCUUAACCGUGGAGGGUCAUUGGAAACUGGUCGACUUGAGUGCAGAAGAGGGAAGUGGAAUUCCAUGUGUAGCGGUGAAAUGCGUAGAGAUAUGGAGGAACACCAGUGGCGAAGGCGGCUUCCUGGUCUGUAACUGACACUGAGGCGCGAAAGCGUGGGGAGCAAACAGGAUUAGAUACCCU
rnacentral:rRNA from 1 species